rnacentral:rRNA from 1 species
GACGAACGCUGGCGGCGUGCUUAACACAUGCAAGUCGAACGGAAAGGCCCUGCUUUUGUGGGGUGCUCGAGUGGCGAACGGGUGAGUAACACGUGAGUAACCUGCCCUUGACUUUGGGAUAACUUCAGGAAACUGGGGCUAAUACCGGAUAGGAGCUCCUGCUGCAUGGUGGGGGUUGGAAAGUUUCGGCGGUUGGGGAUGGACUCGCGGCUUAUCAGCUUGUUGGUGGGGUAGUGGCUUACCAAGGCUUUGACGGGUAGCCGGCCUGAGAGGGUGACCGGCCACAUUGGGACUGGGAUCCGGCCCAGACUCCUACGGGAGGAAGCAGUGGGGAAUAUUGCACAAUGGGCGGAAGCCUGAUGCAGCAACGCCGCGUGCGGGAUGACGGCCUUCGGGUUGUAAACCGCUUUCGCCUGUGACGAAGCGUGAGUGACGGUAAUGGGUAAAGAAGCACCGGCUAACUACG